rnacentral:rRNA from 1 species
UACGGAGGGUGCGAGCGUUAAUCGGAAUUACUGGGCGUAAAGGGUGCGUAGGUGGUUUAAUAAGUUAUCUGUGAAAGCCCUGGGCUUAACCUGGGAAGGUCAGAUAAGACUGUUGGACUCGAGUAUAGGAGAGGGUAGUGGAAUUUCCGGUGUAGCGGUGAAAUGCGUAGAGAUCGGAAGGAACAUCGGUGGCGAAGGCGGCUACCUGGCCUGAUACUGACACUGAGGCACGAAAGCGUGGGGAGCAAACAGG